rnacentral:lncRNA from 1 species
CCACUUCUAAAUCGAGCCUCAUUGUUCUGGCAUAUUUGCAAAUCCUUCAUCCUCCAACUGAAGGAUUAAUUAUACAAUCCACGUGAGAUCUGCAUUUGUGAGUAAAACCAAUGUUCAAGGCCCCAACGCACCUCAUGAACAUAAAGAAAAAAAAGGAAAGGUCACCGAACACCUUCCCCCACGUCAAAAUCCAUACUGUUUAUAAGCUUCUGCACCAUUUCUAUUUGGCAUGUGUUGCAGCCAAUUUCCUCGUCACCUGUUCAUUGAAAACGAGCACCUACAAAAUGAAGUCUACGCUGACUGAAGUUAUCU